GAUGAACGCUGACAGAAUGCUUAACACAUGCAAGUCUUUGGCGAAGCUGUGCUUGCACAGCCUAGCCAAGGCGGACGGGUGAGUAACGCGUAAGGAACUUGCCCUGCAGUCAGGGAUAACAGACGGAAACGACUGAUAAGACCUGGUAAAGUCAGGCGGACUCAUGUCCAGCCUGAUGAAAAGUGAUGCUGCAGGAGAGCCUUGCGUCCUAUUAGCUUGUUGGUGGGGUAACGGCCCACCAAGGCGAUGAUAGGUAGCCGGCCUGAGAGGGUGGACGGCCACAAGGGGACUGGGAUACGGCCCUUACUCCUACGGGAGGCAGCAGUGGGGAAUAUUGGACAAUGGGGGCAACCCUGAUCCAGCAAUUCUGUGUGCACGAUGAAGGUUUUCGGAUUGUAAAGUGCUUUCAGCAGGGAAGAAAAAAAUGACGGUACCUGCAGAAGAAGCGACGGCUAAAUACGUG
rnacentral:rRNA from 1 species